GCACUGACCCCCAGUAGUGACCCUGGGGGGAGACCAUGCCAGGAAGCACACUGGCUGGGGCGACCCUGAGGCAUCCCAGGGAGAGGCAGGAGCCAGAGGCAGCAGGAGCUGAAAGGAGAUACCUGUUCUCUGCAGGCUCCCGACACAGGUGGCUAAUCCGGAAUCCUGGUCAACAAAGUCUGCAGCCCUGCAGCCUGCUGUGAUGUUUGCUGAGCAGCAGAGACAGGUGAAGAGUUGCUCUGAGAAUGCCCUGAUCUGCUGCAGCUGUAGGUGAAGGAGCAGCUUAGGAUAGAAAUCAAGAUAAGAGCAACAAACCCAGGCUCCCGCGAGAAGCCAGUGGGUGUCCAACUUGAGGGCGGAGGAAGGCCUGCACUGCCUGGACGAGGACUGACUGCGGCAAAUUCACUCCAGGGCUGGGCGUCCACGUCCAGCCAGAACGCAGAACUUGCCGGGUUGCGCUGCUCACACAGGCCCCGCCGUCCCCGCCGUCCCCGCCGUCCCCGCCGUCCCCGCCGUGAAGGUGCUCAGCUCUGCGUGGCUUGACUGCGGGCCCUCAGGUGUCCUUGUCCAGGGCUCAGCCUCCCCAUCCUCUGCAGCGGGGACAUUCUAAGUGAGUGUCUUGUUUAAAAAAUAAAGGUGGUAAAAACUGGAGUGUGAGAGGUUAACAAGUUGGCUCCUGCUUUACUACGGGGGGUCCCUGGCAGCUCCUCUGUUGAAGGACGCAUGGGGCAUCUGUGCCGCUCUCGUAGGGACGUUUGCAGGGCCUUGUGUGACUGUGUUCACGUCGGCCCCUCUCACCUCUGAGCUCCUCCCCACCGCGCUUGUGAGUGGAGCAGCCCAGGAGACUGUAUGUGGGGUUUUCCAACCACAAAGCAUGGGGGCUUUGGAGUCUGACGUGCUCCUCGGCAUGGCCACAUGUGCCUCUUUCUCCACUCCUGGCCAUCAGCUGCCCUCAAGAAGUCAGCCACCCCUGCAGAUGGACAAUGAGUACCCAAAGCCAGGGAGGAAGGGCUUUGUUGGGGGAGCUUGGCGUAGGCGUCCACUUCGUCAGGGCCUCAGCUCUUUCCUGGUGAUUCCUGUGGGCUGAUGUACCCAUCACGGGGCACAGAGUGGGACGCCUGCCAUGCCGUCCUCCCUGCAAACCACAGCCAACGUCCAGGCCCCGCCUUUCACUCGAAGCUCAGCCCUUGUUCUGGCCGGGGAAUCUGGUGCAUCCUGCUGUGUCCAGGGCCCUUGCUAUGGUCCCUGGAGUGGUCUCAGGGGCUGUGCCACACCGCAGGGGCCUCGGAUGGCCCCCAUGUCUCACUGAGCAGACAACCAAUUUUCAGUAUGCAAGUGACAAGCAAGAAGCGGCGUCACCCCUAAGCCUUGAAUUUCUUUGCCAAGCAGGAAGCGGUGUCACCCCUAAACCUUGAAUUUCUUUGCCAAGCAGGAAGCGGUGUCACCCCUAAACCUUGAAGUUCUCCAGUCCUGGGCGUCCCCACUGCCUCCUUCCGGGUCACGUGUUCACAGAGCUAGGGGAAGACCCAGAGACUCCAACGUAUCCUCCAGGACCUGCAGAUGGGCAGAGGCAGAGGCAAGUCCAGCACCCGUGCCGUGCAGUGGAGACCCAGAGAUCAGGCGAGGUGCCUGCAUCUGUGCUGGCUAUGCCACCGCAGCAGCACUGUCCCCAGACACCUGGAACCGUCCGCGUGCACAGGCUCGUGGCUGCCCUGGCGGAGGUGCCCCAUGCACCCCCUCGUCUGAUGUCAGAUGAAAAUACGAGUUCUCCGAUCGCGUUGGACCGGAGCGGGCCACGUCCGAGCUGCUUGCAGAGGGAAACCAUCGGAAAUAAUGAAUAGCCGCUCCAUGCAAAUUAUUCAGACAGUUUAGCGUCGGUAGCCGCGAGAAAUAUAUAAAGAACACGAGUCAAAUGACAUUAAUAAUUGUUUCUGAAUUCUGUAUUGAUUUCGCGGCAGGCCGCGUUUCUUUCUUUCUCACCUGAAUCGCUAAUAUCACCUUCCUGUAAAUAAUAAGAAACUAGCCACCGGGGUUUCUCGCUAGAAAUGAAUCUCUCAACCCCUUUCCCUCUCCUCCUGCUCCUCCCCUCCCCCACCCUCCUUCCUCCCCUCUCCCACCCUCCCUCCUCCCCACUCCUUGCAGUUUUCUGGUUUUUCCCGAGCAUCCUUCUACUUCCCAUUAUUUAUUGUUUACAAACUACUCGCUCUCUCCAGGUAAUGAGGCCCGGCUGAAGGAGGGGUGUGAGCCCAGCCGGGCCAAGGGCUGGGAUGGGGAGUAGAGACCCCCAGAGGGGAGGCAUUCAGCUGUGGCUUGUCCUUUCCUCACCUAUACUCGGGGACCUGGCCUCGGCGACUGUGAGCACUCCGCCGGCUGAGGGGGAGAGCCAGGGCCCAGGGGCCCAGCCACCUAUGCCCUGCACCUCUGGGCUCUAGUGCAACAGCUCAGCCCACCCAGACCUGAGGCUGGUGCAUUUCCUUCCUUCCAG
rnacentral:lncRNA from 1 species